rnacentral:rRNA from 1 species
CUUCCGUAGGUGAACCUGCGGAAGGAUCAUUACCGAGUUUUCGGGCUUCGGCUCGACUCUCCCACCCUUUGUGAACGUACCUCUGUUGCUUUGGCGGCUCCGGCCGCCAAAGGACCUCCAAACUCCAGUCAGUAAACGCAGACGUCUGAUAAACAAGUUAAUAAACUAAAACUUUCAACAACGGAUCUCUUGGUUCUGGCAUCGAUGAAGAACGCAGCGAAAUGCGAUAAGUAAUGUGAAUUGCAGAAUUCAGUGAAUCAUCGAAUCUUUGAACGCACAUUGCGCCCCUUGGUAUUCCGGGGGGCAUGCCUGUUCGAGCGUCAUUACAACCCUCAAGCUCUGCUUGGAAUUGGGCACCGUCCUCACUGCGGACGCGCCUCAAAGACCUCGGCGGUGGCUGUUCAGCCCUCAAGCGUAGUAGAAUACACCUCGCUUUGGAGUGGUUGGCGUCGCCCGCCGGACGAACCUUCUGAACUUUUCUCAAGGUGACCUCGGAUCAGGUAGGGAUACCCGCUGAACUUAAGCAUAUCAAUAAGCGGAGGAA